rnacentral:rRNA from 1 species
AACGAACGCUGGCGGCAGGCUUAACACAUGCAAGUCGAACGCCCCGCAAGGGGAGUGGCAGACGGGUGAGUAACGCGUGGGAAUCUACCGUACCCUACGGAAUAGCUCCGGGAAACUGGAAUUAAUACCGUAUACGCCCUACGGGGGAAAGAUUUAUCGGGGUAUGAUGAGCCCGCGUUGGAUUAGCUAGUUGGUGGGGUAAAGGCCUACCAAGGCGACGAUCCAUAGCUGGUCUGAGAGGAUGAUCAGCCACAUUGGGACUGAGACACGGCCCAAACUCCUACGGGAGGGCAGCAGUGGGGAAUAUUGGACAAUGGGCGGCAAGCCUGAUCCAGCCAUGCCGCGUGAGUGAUGAAGGUCUUAGGAUUGUAAAGCUCUUUCACCGAUGAAGAUAAUAGACGGUAGUCGGAGAAGAAG